rnacentral:rRNA from 1 species
AUGACCGAUGCUUCAAGGAAUUACACGCGCGGCACCGGGGAAGCAGUAGCAUGGAGCUUGUACAGGCUACAGCUGAUGCUCUGUUGGUGGCUGGAGGUGUCGCGCGGAGACACGGCAGUGAUGCUGGUGAAAGUUGGGAUGGAAGUGAUGGCGUGGUUCUUUCAGGGAAUCAAGCAACCCAAUUCAGAUUUAUUGACGCAAAUCAACGACUUGCUAGGCGGCUUAUCUUUUUCUAAGAUCAGUCGGCUGACGCCUAGCAGCGGCCUUUACUUAUUCCUACUACUACUACUUGAACUAGAGUUCCUAGUUUAA